rnacentral:lncRNA from 1 species
AAAUAUGGUCACUUGGUCUUCUCCCGACCGGCAGUAAAACGCUUGCUGAAGUGGGGCGUCCGUUUGGCUGUGCGGGAUGUAUCAAGUUCGCAGUCACGUCCGUCAGAAGGGGACGUUAAAUCCGAUGCCUCGUGUAAAGAGAGUGCCACGCUCUUUGCACGUUAAGAACCCUUGCAACAACUCUUUGAGGGGUCCGUAGGUGGCCUGUUGCAAGGCAAAAUUUCUGUCCCUAUCCAAUAUACCCUCAUUUUCCAGUGGCAGUUCAAAUUUCCCUGACCAUCAUCCUAGAUGGCCUCUAUUACAACAACCUACCUAUUGUAUUUAUUGUGAACUUGUUCUCGUCCUGAAUAUGCAUGAACUAUUUGCCACUGGACGUUAAGCAACCAACAAUCAAUCAAUCUUAUAUGGUAAUCUGAGGUCAAAUCGAUAGUUAUUUAGAUGGCGUCUGGACUUAAAUAAACACGAAACGAACCUAUAUAUUAUCUACCCCAUGCUCUCUGUAAACUGUUUAUUUUAGACUUUUGAUAGUUUGGAUAAAUGUUUUACAUUGUUAUAAAUCAAAUAUGAAAAUUUAAGUCAAAUCGGUGACCAUGAAUUUGACAGCUAGUGCCCCUUUAAAAGCCUCUUCUUUCUUUUCACAUCCAAGUCUUGCUGUAUUGAGUGAUCAUUCCAAAAUACGUUAUUUUUCCCCCCCAAAAAAAUACAAGAAACCCAACUAACAAGGGAGAAGAUAUUACAUUUUGGAGGGAUGAGGGGUAAGGAAGGGUCCUGAUCACGAAAUCCCAGGCUUAAAAACCUAAUAUCCUGAAGUCUAGAAGUAAAAGAAAUUUCAAUCCUGAUAUCCCAAAAGUAUCAAUCCCCAAAUCCCCAGCUUAAAAACACCUGGUCCUGACGUCUCAACAAAGGUCUCCCC